GUGGGGAAUAUUGGACAAUGGGGGGAACCCUGAUCCAGCCAUGCCGCGUGUGUGAAGAAGGCCUUUUGGUUGUAAAGCACUUUAAGCGAGGAGGAGGCUACCGAGAUUAAUACUCUUGGAUAGUGGACGUUACUCGCAGAAUAAGCACCGGCUAACUCUGUGCCAGCAGCCGCGGUAAUACAGAGGGUGCAAGCGUUAAUCGGAUUUACUGGGCGUAAAGCGCGCGUAGGUGGCCAAUUAAGUCAAAUGUGAAAUCCCCGAGCUUAACUUGGGAAUUGCAUUCGAUACUGGUUGGCUAGAGUAUGGGAGAGGAUGGUAGAAUUCCAGGUGUAGCGGUGAAAUGCGUAGAGAUCUGGAGGAAUACCGAUGGCGAAGGCAGCCAUCUGGCCUAAUACUGACACUGAGGUGCGAAAGCAUGGGGAGCAAACAGGAUUAGAUACCCUGGUAGUAC
rnacentral:rRNA from 1 species